rnacentral:rRNA from 1 species
AUACGGAGGGUGCAAGCGUUGUUCGGAAUCACUGGGCGUAAAGGGCGCGCAGGCGGUUUGGUAAGUCAGAUGUGAAAGCCCACGGCUCAACCGUGGAAGUGCAUUUGAAACUGUCAGACUUGAGUACUAGAGGGGAAAGCGGAAUUCCCGGUGUAGAGGUGAAAUUCGUAGAUAUCGGGAGGAAUACCGGUGGCGAAGGCGACUUUCUGGCUAGAUACUGACGCUGAGGCGCGAAAGCGUGGGGAGCAAACAGGAUUAGAAACCCUAGUAGUCC